rnacentral:rRNA from 1 species
GAGGCCUUCAACCUUCAAAAACAUGUGGAAGCAAGAUGUGCUUCGGUGCCUCUGGUGCCGCCUUUAUGCAGUGAAGCCUUAUUUGUCUGAACCAAAAUCAAAAAGUUAAAACUUUCAACAAAGGAUCUCUUGGCUCUCACAUCGAUGAAGAACGCAGCGAAGCGCGAAAUGUAGUGUGAAUCGCAGAACUUAGUGAAUCAUCGAAUCUUUGAACGCACAUUGCGCCUCCCAUCAUCGGGAGGCAUGCCUGUCUGAGCGUCAUUUAAACCAUAGCUCCCAUCUGGGACUGUACUGGGCAUCGCCGACGGCGUAGCCUCAAAGACAUUGGUCUAAUCAAGCGGACGAGUUCCUUUAGGACGGACCGUUGGGUUGACCUUAAACCUCUGACUUGACCUCAGAUCAGGUAGGGCUACCGCCUGAACUUAA